rnacentral:rRNA from 1 species
UUAACUUACACCCACACCGCCAGGGGACUACGAGCAAUGCUUAAAACCCAAAGGAUUUGACGGUGUCCCACCCCACUAGAGGAGCCUGUUCUAUAAUCGAUAAUCCCCGCUUCACCUAACCAUCCCUCGCCUUCAGUCUGUAUACCUCCGUCGAAAGCUUACCAUGUGAAUGCCCGCAGUGAGCUUAAUGAUCCACCAUCAGUACGUCAGGUCAAGGUGCAACUUAAGGAAUGGUAAGUAAUGGGCUACAAUUUCUAAUCUAGAACAAACGAAAGACUAUGUGAAACCCUAGUCAUGAAGGUGGAUUUAGUAGUAAAAAGAAAGCAGAGUGUUCUUUUUAACCCGGCUCUGGGACGCGUACACACCGCCCGUCACCCUCUUCGAUAGUACUGUAUCUGUUCAUAACCUAACAACACGUUUUAGAAGAGGUAAGUCGUAACAUGGUAAGUGUACUGGAAAGUGCACUUGGUAUACUA